AUGGAACAUGGGGAGGCUCCCGUAUUGGCAGCGCAGCAUCCUACAUGCUGCUGCUCCAGUUGAGCAACAGAGCCCCAUUGGAAGUGAUGCUACAUUGUGUGGUACAACUGAACUCCAAGGAAUAUACUUUUGAGUAAAUAUACUUAAAACUACACCAUAAGAUUUGCAUGUCUGAACAUUUGCCAUAGAAAGCAACUUCAACUUACAUAUCAUCCGAUAUUAUCUCCAAUACAUUAAAAAAGGACAACAAGUGUUUCACACCAUCAGGGAAACAGUCUGGAGAGAAGGACGUGAACCGGGAUGGUGAAUUUUUUGGAUUUCACUCUGCUACCCAUCAUCCCCGCUGACAGUUUCCUGGUGCUGCUCCUUUUGCUGGAUCCUUUUGUAUCAGAUGUUACACAUCAGCCACAAAAUAUAACCACAUGCUUAAGAUACCAAAUCAAAGAGCUGAAAGGGGAUACAAGAGCCAUCUAGUCCAAUUCUCUGCCAUGAAUGAAUACACAACUACAGCACUUCUAGAAACUUGUAUAAGGUUGCCAGACUUACGUCAUUACGAUCUCAAACAGGAUCUUCUGAGUGACAAAUGCUAGUAUAAGAAGGAGUUACACAAGUGCAGCUUCUUUGGCAGCUUGGAACAGAAGGCUGAGGUGAAUGAACAGCUUCAGAGAUACCAGGUCCAAUAUGCAGCAAGUGAUUAAAAAAACAAACCAUGUGCAGCAUGUGUUGGAUGAAUUAA